AAUAGAUACCCUGGUAGUCCACGCCGUAAACGAUGGGUGCUAGAUGGUGGGGGGGAGCGACCCCUUCGCUGUCGUAGCUAACGCGUUAAGCACCCCGCCUGGGGAGUACGGCCGCAAGGCUGAAACUCAAAGGAAUUGACGGGGGCCCGCACAAGCGGUGGAGCAUGUGGUUUAAUUCGAAGCAACGCGAAGAACCUUACCUGGGUUUGACAUGCACGUGAAACUCCUUGGAAACAGGGAGCCUCCUUCGGGACACGUGCACAGGUGCUGCAUGGCUGUCGUCAGCUCGUGUCGCGAGAUGUUGGGUUAAGUCCCGCAACGAGCGCAACCCUUGACUUUAGUUGCCAGCAAGUAAGGUUGGGCACUCUAGAGUGACUGCCGGUGACAAACCGGAGGAAGGUGGGGAUGACGUCAAAUCAUCAUGCCCCUUAUGACCUGGGCUACACACGUACUACAAUGGCCGGUACAACGGGAAGCGAAGGAGCGAUCUGGAGCGAAUCCUUUAAAGCCGGUCUCAGUUCGGAUUGCAGG
rnacentral:rRNA from 1 species